GGAUUUUGAGGGCUUUUCCCGGGGAGAGAUGAGGAGAGAAGACACAAAUGGAGAGAGUUGGUAGACCACUGGAUGGAGUGGACUUGGAGCGAGGGUCCGAAGAUACUGCCGGAGCUGCUGAAAACCAGCCUCAUGACAAUGAGUGAAGGACUGCAUUGUCUACUUAUGCUGAAUGCAGAAACAUUUAGUGAUGAGUUCAGUGGCUUCAGAAUCAAAGUGUUUGCUUCCAUCUUCAUCAUAACCUGCCUUGACUGGUAGAUCUUGGAGUAGAGUGUCUAUUUCAGGAGUUUUGCAUGAAGCUUAUGAACCACAUGUCCUGCCCAGUAUAGACAACUGAAAGUAAGUUGGCCCCAGUGCAAGGGAUGUUGGACUGAGAGUGGAUGCUGACAUUGGUUCACAUCUCCUUCCCCUGAGUCUGAGAGAAUGCAUGUUAUGACAAGAAUAAUGUGAACUCUUGGAAUGAUCUGAAGGCAGAUUAAAGUCUUCAGCUACCGUGAACUUCCCUUCUGUGACCUUCAUUACACCCAAUAAGUUUGUAUGGAUAUAAAAUGGUGGCGCAGCUAGUAGAACCACUCCUCCAAAACACCAGAGACAAGGGUUCAGUCAUGUGUUCCUGUGACCUUGAGGGCUUCCUCCAUGUGCUCUGAUUUCAUCCUAAAUCCCGAUGUCAUGUGGGUUGAUGCCGGGGCGUCAUGGUAAUGUAGUGGUUAGCACAAUCACUUUACAGCGCCAGUGAUUACUGAUCAGGGUUCGAUUCUGGCCAUUCUAUGCAAGGAGUCUGUACAUUCUCCUAGUGACUACAUGGGUUUCCUCCGGAUGAUUCAGUUUCCUUCGAGAUUCCAAAGGUGUACGGUUAGGAUUAUUUUUGGUGACUUGGGCGCAUUCUCUGUUGGUGCCGGAAGCAUGGUGACACUUGCGGGCUGCCCCCAGCACAAUACUCGGACUGUGUUUAUAGCUGAUGCAAAACGAUGCAGUUCACUGUCUGUUUCAAUAUGUCAAUGGUACAUGUGACAA